rnacentral:tRNA from 1 species
AGCAGCAUGGCUUACUGGAAAGAGUAUGGGCCUGGCGGUCAAAGGAUCUGGGUUCUAAUCCCAGCUCUGCUA